rnacentral:rRNA from 1 species
UACGUAGGCAGCAAGCGUUGUUCGGAAUUACUGGGCGUAAAGAGUUCGUAGGCGGUGCGGCAAGUUUGGUGUGAAAUCUCCCGGCUCAACUGGGAGGGUGCGCCGAAUACUGCCGUGCUAGAGUAUAGGAGAGGUAAGCGGAAUUCCUGGUGUAGCGGUGAAAUGCGUAGAUAUCAGGAGGAACACCUGUGGUGUAGACGGCUUACUGGACUAUAACUGACGCUGAGGAACGAAAGCGUGGGUAGCAAACAGG